rnacentral:lncRNA from 1 species
GCAAGAAACCCAACUGUCAGACAAUUCCAGGGGCAAGAAAUGGGGGUGAUAUUGUCAAGGGUUUUGAGCCUAAAAAAGAGAAGGUUUUCUGGGUUUAUGAUGAUGAGGAUGCUAAACUCACAGAAGAGAAAUCAUUUGUUAAGGACCUUGAGCCCAGGACUAAUGUCUCAGCCUAGCAUGAUAAAGGUGCUACUAAAGAAGAGAAGGAGAAGCCAUUUGUGGGUGACUUUGAACCUAGGCCUAAUGUUUCUGCUUAUAAUGAAUAAGUGGAACAGAAACCAUGAAUAUUAUUCAUUAGGUAAGAAAUAGAGUGCCAUUGGUAGUGAUUAUAAAAAAUAUUUCUAGCAUUUCAAACACUUGAAUGAUAAAAAAAUUUAAAUAUUAAAAAUGUUGGAAACACUUUCUAAAAUUAUUAUCAAAUGAGCUUAUAAUUAGAAGCCCCUAGUGUUUAAUGUUUGUAUUGGAAUUGAUGUGAAGUGUGUGAAAUGAUUUAAUAAGAGUUGUACCACUUGGUUUGACUUAUUACAAGUUGGUAUUAUAUACCUAGAAAUGAUUAUGACUUUAAGAGAUCUUGAAGAUUAUUCAAGAUUUGGGUUUUUUCAUUUUUCUUUAAUUAGAUUUCAUAAAUGAUUUUUUAACUAUUUAAAAAUGUUUUUAAAAUUUUAUAAUUAGAAGUGUUUUUCUAAAAAUAUUGCAAACAAACUCUAAAGGUUUUUCUUAAUAUAUACUUUUAAAAAUCUAAAGAAUCACUUUUAGAAAUCACAUUUUUAAAAUCACUUUCAAAAAAUGAUACAAAUAAAAACCCUUUUACCAAAAUUACUCUAAAACAAACUUUUGUUUUAAUUAAGUAUAUAUUGAUAUUCCAUUCCGUGUUCUGUUGCUUAACAAACAUAUUGAUAAAACCAAGCUAGAAAGAUGAGGUUGGUAAGCAUCAAAUCUCAAAUGUAACCAUGACUUUUGAGAGGAUUGAUAAAAAAGCGCCUUUGAAGAUGGUAAUCCCAUCAACUAUAAACUUCGAGGAUGAAUAUAUAUCCCAUCAACUAUUCAAAAUUUAAGGAAUUUAAAUGUGAAACCUAGGUGAAAAUUUUAGACCAUUUUCGGUAAUUAUUGUCAAAAAUAGUUUUAAACAACAAUUUUAAAAACCAUAUUCUUAUGUUUUGUAAAAUAAAUGUUUAUUUGAGAAUAUGAAAUAUUUUAAACUUAUUUUCUAUAUUUUAAAAUAAUUUUUUAAAAUAUAUCUAUAUGCUUUAUUUUUAAUUAUUUUUCAUAUUUGUAUAAUUAUUUUUUUAAAUAACCCUAAAAAAUUAAGUGAAAAUAACUAAAACAUGUUAUCUAAAAACGCUUUUAUUUGUUGUUUUCGGGUUGUCAAAUAUGUUUUUUUUAUCUAAAAAAAGAAAAGUGUUUUGAAAAUGGUUAUGAAAUUUUCGAUAAUAGUUUUUAAAACUCAUUCUUUAAUAUUUUAUAGAAUAAAUGACUAAAUAUUUGUCUGAGAAGUUAAAAUGUUUUUUACUUAUUUUUUAUAUUUUAAAAAUAACUUUUAUAUGUAGAAUUUUAUUUAUAAUCAUGUAGACAUGAAAAAAAUUAGUGGAUUAAAUUACCACUAAUGUCUUCAAAAUGAAUAAAUUUAAAAUAUAUAUAUAUAUAUAUAUAUAUAUAUAUAUAUAUCCUCGAUAAGUUUUCCUAAUAUCCAACUAUAAAACAGAUAAUAAUAAUAAUAAUAAGAAAAUCUUCUUCUCCGAAAAGUUUUACCAACACGAUAAUAAUAAUAAUAAUAAUUUUCUUCUUAUUAUUAUUAUCCUUUUUAUAAUUGAAGAUUAAGAAAACUUAUCUAUAAGAGGAUAUAUUUAUUUAUAUAUAUAUAUAUAUAUAUAUAUAUAUAUAUAUAUAUAUAUAUAUAUAUUAAAUUUAUUCAUUUUGAAAGACCAAAUUAUUAGUAAUUUAAUCCAUUAAUUUUUUUAUAUCUAUAAAUCGUUUUUCAUAUUUGUAUGAUAAAUUUUUAAAAUGAUAUUUAAAAAAUAAGUAAAAAUAACUGAAAAAUUGUUAUUAAAAAAUAUUUUAUUUUAGUACUUAAUCUUUCUCCUUUUGAACUCCAAACAAGCUGAACAGUGAAGCACCAAUCCGAGGCCAAACCAACCCAUCUCUACUGCUAGCUGGGUGGGCACAGAAGCAAUUUUUUAGGAUUAGAUGGGCUAGGCAUGGCUCUUCGAUAAUUUUUCUAGAAAUUCAGGUUCAGUUAAAGCAUGGUCUACAAGCAGACCAUCCCUUGAUAAUUUCCAACAAUUAUGAAAGACAUGGGCUUUUGCUUCUGAUUCUCUCUGGAUUCGGACCUGCUGCCACCCAUCUGAAAGAGAGAGGAUUAAAAAAAUGUAAAGGAGAUAUGAGUUGCUAGAAAACAAGGACGUCCCAGCUUUAUAAGCCAGAAAACAAAAACAAUAAUGGAACACUAAUAUUUUUUUAAGUAAAAGGGCGCGCAUCCAAUAAUAGGAACAUGACGUGGGUUGGGCAGACUCAACCUAUUGAUUAAUUUGGAGGAAUGAUUUCAGAUCGAGGGAGGGAUCAUUAUUUUAUCCAAAAAUUUGUUACUUCAUUCAAUGAACUCUUGAAUCAUUAUUUCAUCGAGAUUCAAAACUCCAACAAUCAUAUCGACCGACACCCUUUUUGUUAAAUAUAAAAAAGACGUUGUCAAUGAUAUAAUAAUCAUCAUAACCUUACAAUUAUUUAUCAUCACACACACAGAUAGAUAUAUAUGUCAGAAUAAUUAGCAAAACCUGAUCCCUCCACUACCAUUAUAAACCCUAAAAAAAUCUCAUAAUUAUAGUUUUAGCAUAUAUGUUGCACUGCAAACUUUUCGAAAAAGAUAAAAUAAAAUUCAGGUCACCAAACUUUAACAAAAAUUCAUAGCUUCUCAUCAUCGUCCUCAACUACAAGGAUAUAAGGAUGAAACUGAUAGGUAUAAAGUGAACUCCAAGAAGACCGUUCAUAGUUCAAGAAAAUUGAAAGGGAAGUUUUCUAAUCAUAAAUUAGUGGUGCCAAAGAUUUUACCUUUGCUUUCCAUGAUACUUCAAAUCCUAACUAUUUUUUUAAUAAAAAAUAUGAAUAAAGACUUGGCCUUAGAUUUCCACAAGAUCUGGUAUAUUUUUAAUUAGGCAUAUCUUGAUACGUGACUCAAAACAUUUUGCCUGCAAAAGCUUGAAAAAAACGAAGGCACAAAAUAUAGUUGGUAAGCUGUCAAAUCUUCGAGCAUAUAUUCAGGCAUUGGGUCUCUGUUAUUUAUUUAUUUUAAUUUUUUUAGUGAAAACGAUUGGAUUUAUAAAAGUAAUCAUUCAUGUGGAGGCAUGGAACGUGUUUGUCAUGGUUUUACUAUUAUAUAUAUAUAUAAACAUAAUUAAAAUUAUCUAGAACCUUUUGUAUUUUAAAUUAUUUAAUUUUUAUAUCAAAUUUUAAAAUAAAUCUUAAUUAAUAUAUAUAUAUUUGUUAGAUCCUUAAGAUUUGAGAAAAAGAAAAGGAGAAAAUAUAAGGAAAAGAUUUAAUAAAUUAUUUGACGUGGUUCUUUUGAUAUAUUUCUGUCCCUUUUUUUAACAAAGAAUUUUCUUUGUAUUUUUAACAAUAUUGAGAUUUUGAUUUGUUUCCCACUUUUAAUUUCUCUAUUCCAUUUUACUUGUCAUAAUCCAAAUAAAACCAAGAAGUAAAUAUUUUUGUGAAAAUUGUUUUAAUUUUGAAACAUUAAUCAUAUAAACAUAUACAAAAUCUAAUUCAAUCCGAUUAUUAAGUAGAAGAAUUUAAUUAUUAAAUGAAUGAAAUGUGUUAUAUGCAUAUUACCUAUCUAGUAAUGAAGCAAUAUUUGAGUUUAUAUUUUUAACAAUAGUAUUAUUGUGUCGGGUUUGGGUUGAUAUAUGUCAUUGAAUAUCAAGACUUUGACAUGACAUGAAAAUUGUAACCCCUAUGUUAGCUUUCUCCUUAUGAAGUUCAAACAAGCUGAACAGUGAAGCACCAAUCCGAGGGCAAACCAACCCCAUUCUACUGCUAGCUUUGGUGGGCACAGAAGCAAUUUUUUAGGAUUAGAUGGGCUAGGCAUGGCUCUUCGAUAAUUUUUCUAGAAAUUCAGGCUCAGUUAAAGCGUGGUCUACAACAGACCAUCCCUUGAUAAUUUCCAACAAUUAUGAAAGACAUGGGCAUUUGCUUCUGAUUCUCUCUGGAUUCGGGCCUGCUGCCACCCAUCUGAAAGAGAGGAUUAAAAAAAUGCAUAGGAGAUAUGAGUUGCUAGAAAACAAGGACGUCCCAGCUUUAUAAGCUAGAAAACAAAAACAAUAAUGGAACACUAAAAUUUUUUUAAGUAAAAGGGCGCGCAUCCAAUAAUAGGAACAUGAUGUGGGGUGGGCAGACCCAACCUAUUGAUUAAUUUGGAGGAAUGAUUUCAGAUCGAGGGAGGGAUCAUUAUUUUAUCCAAAAAUUUGUUACUUCAUUCAAUGAAGUCUUGAAUCAUUAUUUCAUCGAGAUUCAAAACUCCAGCAAUCAUAUCGACCGACACCCUUUUUGUUAAAUAUAAAAAAGACGUUGUCAAUAUAAUGUCACAUAUAUAUAUAUUUUCAAGUUCAGUAAUAUACGACAUUUUUAUUAGUUUAUUUUCUUUCAUGGAAAUAAAAAAGUUGAUACUAGAUCACAAGAAUAAGUAAUAAAAAAAUACAAUAAAAACACACAAAUUUACGUAAAAAAAACCUUAGACAGGAAAAACUAUAGAUAAAAAUAUAGAAAAUCUAUAAUAUAAAAAAAUUGGUAUAAAAAAGGAGAGUUGUGAACGGUUAUAAUAAAAACAUAAUCAUCAUAACCCUACAACUAUAUAUCAUCACACACACACACACACAAUAUAUAUAUAUAUAUAUAUAUAAAUAAUUAGUAAACCCCGAUCCCUCCACUACCAUUAUAGACCAAAAAAAACAAAUCUCAUAAUUAUAGUUUUAUCAUAUAUGUUGCACUGCGAGCUUUUCGAGUCGAAUAAAAUAAAAUUCAAGUCACCAAAUUCUAACAAAAAUUUAUAGCUUCUCAUCAUCGUCCUCAACUACAAGGGUAUAAGGAUGAAACUAAUAGGUAUGAAGUGAACUCCAAGAAAAGUAUUCAUAGUUCAAGAAAAUUGCAAGGAAAAUUUUCUAAUCAUAAAUUAGUGGUGCCAAAGAUUUUACCUUUGCUUUCCAUGAUACGUCAAAUCCUAAUUAUUUUUUUAAUCAUAAAUAUGAAUAAAGACUUGGCCUUCGAUUUUCACAAGAUCUUGAAUCUCAUCCAGUAUAUUUUUAAUUAGGCAUAUGUUGAUACGUAACUCAAAACAUUUUGGUUGCAAAAGUUUGGAAAAAACGAAAGCACAAAACAUAGUUGGUAAGCCAUCAAAUCUAGGCAUCGGGUUUUUGUUAUUUAUUUAUUUUUAUUUUUUUAGUGAAAAUGAUUGAAUUUAUAAAAGUGAUAAUUCAUGUGGAGGCAUGGAACAUGUUUGUCACGGUUUCACUAUUAAAUAUAAUAUAUAUAUAUAUAUAUAUAAACAUAAUUAAAAUUAUCUAGAACCUUCUAUAUUUUAAAUUAUUUAAUUUUUAUAUCAAAUUUUAAAAUAAAUAAAAUAAAUUUUAAUAUAUAUAUAUAUAUAUAUAUUUUGUUAGAUCCUUAAGAUUUGAGAAAAAGAAAAGGAGAAAAUAUAAGGAAAAUAUUUAAUAAAUUAUUUGACGUGGUUAUUGCGAUGUAUUUAUGUCCCUUUUUUAGCAAAGAAUUUUCUUUGUAUUUUUAAUAAUAUUGAGAUUUUGAUUUGUUUCCCAUUUUUCUCUAUUUCAUAUUACUUGUCAUAAUCCAAAUAAAACUGAGAAGUAACUAUUUUUGUGAAAAUUAUUUUAAUUUUGAGACAUUAAUCAUAUAAACAUAUACAAAAUCUAAGUCAACCUGAUUAUUAAGUAGAAGAAUUUAAUUAUUAAAUGAAGGAAAUGAGUUAUAUGAUGUAUUACCUGUCUAGUAAUGGAAGAGUAUUUGAGUUUAUAUUUUUAACAUUAGUAUUGUUGUGUUGGGUUUGAGUUGAUAUAUGUCAUAGAAUAUCGAGACUUUGACACGACGUGAAAAUUGUAGCCCCUAAGUUUGUUGCACAUUACCUAUUUUCUGACGUUAGAAACAAGAACACUUUCUAACCUCAAUUCUUCUACUAAUAUUUAGUUGAAAAAUUCAUACGAGAAUGUUUUAACAUUACUUGGUCUUGUCAUGGCUCUUACACUUAAUCUUCACAUCAUUUGCCCAACACCACAUUGUUGACAUCUUCAAUGCAUUAUUGAAGGCCAACAAAAAUUGCACAUCAUGAUAUGAUCAAUAUACUUUAUCCAAGGCCAACUUGAACCUUAAGGUUAAUCCUUCUUAGCUAUAUGUUUGGUUUUCUUGUACUUCUUAUCUAUCUAUCUAUGUAAAUAGUAAGUGGAGCCUCGAUUCAAAUAACAGAAACAAAGUGUUUGCAGAUUGAGGAUAUGGCUUAUUCCUUGGCUUUCUUCACUAUUUUCUCGCUUCUCUUGGUGAGCAUUUCUAAGAGGCAAACUGAAACCAAUUGAUUAUGAACUCAGGAAAAUUUUGACUAUGAAUUUGUAUGGUUUCAUAAUUCUUACAAGUUCCUACAUAUUUUUCUCUUAAUUUGUGAGCAGGUGGGCAAUGCAAUAGGUGGAAGAAAAGAGCCUGGGGAAUAUUGGAGAGAUGUUAUGAAGGAUGAGCCCAUGCCAAAAGCAAUCCAAGGUCUUCUCCCUGAAGAUUAAUCAUCUUCUCUCUCAAGCAAGAAACCCAACUGUCAGACAACUAUAGAGGCAAGAAAUGGGGAUGAUGUUGUCAAGGGUUUUUGUUGAGGCCCCGCGUUCCUGGUGAUCCAUGUAGUUGCCAAAUGAAUGGGCGCACGAUCUCAACCACUAUAAGUUCCUGGUUCAAUCGUUCUUGCAAAAUACGUCUGAACAGGGUAUCCGGACGCACCCUUCGAUGGUUUUGUUAGCCAUGGUUCAGAGAGAUAAAUCAGUUGGCUUUUUAUUAGGUAUAACAAACUUACCUUCCUCUUUAUGUGAAGGUUCAUAUAUAUCGUCUCAGAAGCUCUGUCUCCCUCUUUAAUGAUAGGGAGAUAUUUUGGCUUGACAUGAUGCCUCUAAGUGGUGACAAAGCCAUCAUCACCCUACGGGCGGCUGCCAGAGAUCGUGGGGGGCGUCGCAGAUGUCAGAGAUUGUGGGAAGUGACUUGUUGUCAUUCCUGUCCUUUCACUCUACAGGUGGCGGAACGUGGGCCGUGACAGGCUGUCAGAAUGGCGUAGCAAGACUUGCUUACUUUAGUCAAUGAUCUGGACAAACAUAUUUGGAUAGGGUAUGUAGGUCUUCCGGAUGUAAUAUAACGAUCGUCCGGAUGUGAUGUUUGCGAGUGUCGUGUGCUUCUCUCUGAGGAAGUUCGGAUAGGAGAAGCGUGCCACGUGUCUCCUUUGGGGGAGAUCCGGAUGGAGCUAAUACGGAUGGAAAUGUGUGCCACGUGGCAUCAGGGAGAUCCGGAUGGAGCUAAUCCGGAUGAAAAUGUGUGCCACGUGGCAUCAGGGGGAGGGGUCCCUACAGUUUUGAGCCUAAAAAAGAGAAGGUUUUCUGGGUUUAUGAUGAUGAGGAUGCUAAACUCACAGAAGAGAAAUCAUUUGUUAAGAACCUUAAGCCCUGGACUAAUAUCUCAGCCUACCAUGAUAAAGGUGCUACCAAAGAAGAGAAGCCAUUUGUGGGUGACUAUGAACCUCGGCCUAAUAUUUCUGCUUACAAUGAGUAAGCGAAAAUGCUUGUAUUGGAAUUGAUGUGAAGUGUGUGAGAUGAUUUAAUAAAAGUUGUGCCUGGUUUCUGACUCAUUACAAGUUGGUAUUUUGCAUACUAUAUAUAUUAAUUAAAUACCUAGAAAUGAUUAUGACUUUCGGAGAUCUUGAUGAUUAUCCAGGAUGUGGGUUUUUGCUUUUUUCAUUUGUUGGAUGUGGCUUUUUUGGAUUAUCCAAGUUGAUCGAGAAAUUCCAUAGUACAGAACAACCAUUGAAUACUAUAAAUCUUCUCUCAGAGCACUUAACUAGCAUCUUCAUACUUCAGCUACACAC